CCUACGGUGGCAGCAGUGGGGAAUAUUGGACAAUGGGCGAAAGCCUGAUCCAGCCAUGCCGCGUGUGUGAAGAAGGCCUUCGGGUUGUAAAGCACUUUCAGUGGGGAAGAAAGCCUUGGGGCUAAUACCCUCGAGGAAGGACAUCACCCACAGAAGAAGCACCGACUAACUCCGUGCCAGCAGCCGCGGUAAUACGGAGGGUGCGAGCGUUAAUCGGAAUUACUGGGCGUAAAGCGCGCGUAGGCGGUCUGAUAAGCCGGUUGUGAAAGCCCCGGGCUCAACCUGGGAACGGCAUCCGGAACUGUCAGGCUAGAGUGCAGGAGAGGAAGGUAGAAUUCCCGGUGUAGCGGUGAAAUGCGUAGAGAUCGGGAGGAAUACCAGUGGCGAAGGCGGCCUUCUGGACUGACACUGACGCUGAGGUGCGAAAGCGUGGGUAGCAAACAGGAUUAGAUACCCCAGUAGUC
rnacentral:rRNA from 1 species